AUUGAACGCUGGCGGCAGGCCUAACACAUGCAAGUCGAGCGAGCGGCGGACGGGUGAGUAAUGUCUGGGAAACUGCUGGAUGGAGGUGGAUAACUACUGGAAACGGUAGCUAAUACCGCAUACCAUCGGAUGUGCCCAGAUGGGAUUAGCUAGUAGGUGGGGUAACGGCGCACCUAGGCGACGAUCCCUAGCUGGUCUGAGUGGAUGACCAGCCACACUGGAACUGAGACACGGUCCAGACUCCUACGGGAGGCAGCAGUGGGGAAGAUUGGACAAUGGGCGCAAGCCUGAUGCAGCCAUGCCGCGUGUGUGAAGAAGGCCUUCGGGUUGUAAAGCACUUUAAGCGGGGAGGCGUUACCCGCAGAAGAAGCACCGGCUAACUCCGUGCCAGCAGCCGCGGUAAUUC
rnacentral:rRNA from 1 species